ACGCAAUAGAUACCCCGGUAGUCCACGCCGUAAACGAUGAGUGCUAAGUGUUAGAGGGUUUCCGCCCUUUAGUGCUGCAGCUAAACGCAUUAAGCACUCCGCCUGGGGAGUACGGCCGCAAGGCUGAAACUCAAAGGAAUUGACGGGGGCCCGCACAAGCGGUGGAGCAUGUGGUUUAAUUCGAAGCAACGCGAAGAACCUUACCAGGUCUUGACAUCCUCUGACACUCCUAGAGAUAGGACUUUCCCCUUCGGGGGACAGAGUGACAGGUGGUGCAUGGUUGUCGUCAGCUCGUGUCGUGAGAUGUUGGGUUAAGUCCCGCAACGAGCGCAACCCUUGAUCUUAGUUGCCAGCAUUCAGUUGGGCACUCUAAGGUGACUGCCGGUGACAAACCGGAGGAAGGUGGGGAUGACGUCAAAUCAUCAUGCCCCUUAUGACCUGGGCUACACACGUGCUACAAUGGAUGGUGCAAAGGGCAGCGAAGCCGCGAGGUCGAGCCAAUCCCAUAAAACCAUUCUCAGUUCGGAUU
rnacentral:rRNA from 1 species